rnacentral:rRNA from 1 species
UAAUAGUGUAUAUUAAAGUUGUUGCAGUUAAAAAGCUCGUAGUUGAAUGUUGGUGUCGAACGAGCGGUCAGCUUCGGCUGUACUGCUCUCUCGACUCCUUCCUUCUGUGGACUACGUCGCACUUUACUGUGUGGCGCUAGGACGCAGACCGUUUACUGUGAAAAAAUUAGAGUGUUCAAAGCAGGCCGUACGCUUGAAUACAUUAGCAUGGAAUAAUGGAAUAGGACGUCGGGCCUAUUUUGUUGGUUCUAGGACCGUCGUAAUGAUUAAUAGGGACAGUUGGGGCCGUUUAUAUUCCGUAGUCAGAGGUGAAAUUCUUGGAUUUACGGAAGAUAAACUACUGCGAAAGCAUUCGGCAAGGAUGUUUUCGUUAA